rnacentral:rRNA from 1 species
GAUGAACGCUGGCGGCGUGCCUAAUACAUGCAAGUCGAGCGAAGCGGGGACGGGUGAGUAACACGUGGAUAACCUCCUAUAAGACUGGGAGAAUUUCGGGAAACCGGAGCUAAACCGGAUACUUAGAGAUGGAUCCGCACUGCAUUAGCUAGUUGGUAAGGUAACGGCUUACCAAGGCAACGAUGCAUAGCCGACCUGAGAGUGUGACGGGCCACACUGGAGCUGAGACACGGGCCAGACUCCUACGGGAGGCAGCAGUGGGGAAUCUUCCGCAAUGGGCGAAAGCCUGACGGAGCAACGCCGCGUGCGUGAUGCAGGUCUUCGGAUCGUAAAGCUCUGUUAUUCGUGAAGCGCUACCUAAUCAGAAAGCCACGGCUAACUACGUGCCAGCAGCCGCGGUAAUAC